rnacentral:rRNA from 1 species
CCUACGGGAGGCAGCAGUAGGGAAUCUUCCACAAUGGGCGAAAGCCUGAUGGAGCAACGCCGCGUGAGUGAUGAAGGCCUUCGGGUUGUAAAACUCUGUCAUUCGGGACGAACCGGAGUCUGAGGAAAUGCAGACUCUCUGACGGUACCGGAGGAGGAAGCCCCGGCUAACUACGUGCCAGCAGCCGCGGUAAUACGUAGGGGGCAAGCGUUGUCCGGAUUCACUGGGCGUAAAGCGCGCGCAGGCGGUGAUGUAAGUCUGAGGUGAAAACCCGAAGCUCAACCUCGGGACUGCCUUGGAUACUGCGUCACUUGAGGAUAGGAGAGGCAAGGGGGAAUUCCACGUGUAGCGGUGAAAUGCGUAGAGAUGUGGAGGAACACCUGUGGCGAAGGCGCCUUGCUGGCCUAUUUCUGACGCUGAGGCGCGAAAGCGUGGGGAGCAAACAGGAUUAGAUACCCUGGUAGUCCACGCUGUAAACGAUGAGUGCUAGGUGUAGGUGGGCUCAUACCCAUCUGUGCCGAAGCUAACGCAUUAAGCACUCCGCCUGGGGGNGGUACGUCGCGACGACGUACGAACGUAAGUAAGUAGUACGGACGNGAGAGNGCGACGGACGACGACGAGGGAGGAGG